rnacentral:rRNA from 1 species
AUGAAGGUGAUGGCGGCGGCGGCGGCGGAGGCUGCGGCGCCCGCACCCAAGAGGAGCACAUCCGAUGAAGCGGCCGGGCCCAGGUCACAGAAACGGGCACGUGAUAGCUUCUGCGACGGCAACGCCAUCAGCCACGGCGAUCUCAUCAGCGACCUUCCCGACGCCAUCCUCGGCACCAUCUUCUCCCUGCUCCCCACCAAGGACGGCGCCCGCACGCAGGCCAUCUCCCGGCGAUGGCGUCCCCUAUGGCGCUCCUCGCCUCUCAACCUCGACGUCCCGUACCACCCCGUCGGAGAUCGGUUCGAGCGUCUCUCCGCCGUCUCCAGGAUCCUGUCGGACCACCCUGGCCCCGCACGCCGCUUCGACGUCUUUCUCGUCCGCCUCCACAGAGAGAGAAAAAGGUACGACGAAGAUGCCGCUCAGAUCGACAGCUGGUUCCAUUCCCGAGCCCUUGACAACCUUCAGGAGCUCCACAUCAGCUUCGCGCUCUUGGAAUAUACGCGUGGACGGCCUGAGAAGGACAAGCGCUGCCUGCUGCCGCCGUCUGUGCUCCGCUCAGCAUCAACCCUCCUCUUGGUCAGCAUUGGCUCCUGCGAUUUCCCAAGGGAGAUGGCACCUUCUCUGAACUUCCCCCUCCUCAAGCAGCUCAAGCUAUGGAGCGUUUCCAUCUCCGAGGAUGUCUUCUCGAGGGUGCUCUCUAGCUGCCAUGUCUUGGAGAGCUUACAUUUGUCGAGGAUUCUCGAGGGGUCUUGCCUUUGCAUUAGUUCACCAACUCUUAGGAUCAUCGUCACCCUUCGUUUGUUCGAAGGCAAAGGAAAAUUGGUCAUUAAGGAGGCCCCUCAUCUUGAAAGGCUGCUAUUACGUUCUCCGGGCUUAGGUGUCGAGACUAUCCAGGUAGUUAGGGCACCUAAACUGGAGACAGUGGGCCUUUUGUCUCCCUGCACCUUACAAAUUCAGAUCAACAAUCUAGUCUUCCAGGGAUUAAUCCCAUCGAGCUUGGAAAACCCAAUACGCAGUGUAAAGGUUUUGGCUCUCCAGUUCUGUGGCCCUGAUUUGAACUCGGUCUACUAA